UUAGCUCAUAUUUGUAUGGAAAGGGAUCGUUUGCCUACGUUUGUCGCUAGGGGUGCUGUUCCAACUGCAUACAAAAUUGGGUUA
rfam:Bombyx mori DNA, contig: Bm_scaf7_contig6015, strain: p50T/Dazao, build 2, whole genome shotgun sequence.